GCGCGCGUAGCCCAAACUAUGGCAGAGGCGGUCGGCCUAAACCCGAUUCAUGUGAGAGUUCGAAUCUCUCCGCGCGCA
rnacentral:tRNA from 1 species